AUUUCCCUCUUUCUUUAGGCCUAACACAUGCAAGUCGAACGGCAGCACAGUAAGAGCUUGCUCUUACGGGUGGCGAGUGGCGGACGGGUGAGGAAUACAUCGGAAUCUACUUUUUCGUGGGGGAUAACGUAGGGAAACUUACGCUAAUACCGCAUACGACCUACGGGUGAAAGCAGGGGAUCUUCGGACCUUGCGCGAUUGAAUGAGCCGAUGUCGGAUUAGCCAGUUGGCGGGGUAAAGGCCCACCAAGGCGACGAUCCGUAGCUGGUCUGAGAGGAUGAUCAGCCACACUGGAACUGAGACACGGUCCAGACUCCUACGGGAGGCAGCAGUGGGGAAUAUAGGACAAUGGGCGCAAGCCUGAUCCAGCCAUACCGCGUGGGUGAAGAAGGCCUUCGGGUUGUAAAGCCCUCUUGUUGGGAAAGAAAAGCAGCAGGUUAAUACCCCGCUGUUCUGACGGUACCCAAAGAAUAAGCACCGGCUAACUUCGUG
rnacentral:rRNA from 1 species